rnacentral:rRNA from 1 species
AGACGAAGGUGGCUAGCGUUGUUCGGAAUCACUGGGCUUAAAGAGCACGUAGGCGGCUCAUCAAGCGCUUUGUGAAAUCCCUCGGCUCAACCGAGGAAUUGCUCGGCGAACUGAUGGGCUUGAGGCAGGCAGGGGCAAGUGGAACUCUUGGUGGGGCGGUGGAAUGCGUAGAUAUCAAGAGGAACGCCAGAGGCGAAGGCGACUUGCUGGGCCUGUUCUGACGCUGAGGUGCGAAAGCCAGGGUAGCGAACGGGAUUAGAUACCCCGGUAGUCCUGGCCCUAAACGAUGUCCACUAGGUCAAUGGUUCUCUGACGGAUUGUUGGCCGUAAUAAAAACGUUAAGUGGACCGCCUGGGGAGUACGGUCGCAAGGCUAAA